AUAUAUUUUUUUAUUUCCAAAACAUAUCAAGUAUUAAAUAACGAAAUCAUAUUGGUUGGUGAACCUAGAUGUUCAACUUAGGGGUGAACCCAAGAAUAACUCCAUUUUAAUUAUCUUCAAAAAGUAAGGGCAUAAUCAUACAAAAGAUUAAUGAUUUAAUAGUAUUACAAUACUAAAAGGAAGAUAUACUCAAUCCUAAAGUUAUCCACGUAGGAUUAAAAAAUUUAGCCAAUCAGAACUCUCUUUUUUAACACGUCAUAACUGUUUCUGUCCACAGAAGAGAGAAACUGGAUUUUCGUCUGGGCUGUCCAGAGAUAAAACUACAGAAACGGUCAGUUCAAGCCCAUUAAUGCUUAGCCUAACAAUCAUGGAAGCGUUGAGCUCAUCUUCCCUAUCCCGACUCUUAAGCUUCAUCUUCACCGGUUGCGAUAGUAACUCUGUUACUGCUUCCUCCUCUUCAUCAAUCAAUGAUGCUAUUAAAUCUCAUCUUUAUUGUUUCGUUAUACCUUCCUCUCCUUCUCCUCAUAUAUAAAAUCUAUCAUAUCUUCGUAGAGAAUUACUUCGAUCCAAAUUCAGAAACCUUCUUUCCAGAAUCUCAAGCUAUGGCGAUUGUUAGCUCUUUACCUUUGUGAGUUUACAACUGCUGCAGUAUUUUUUGAGAUCUGAACGGAAGAUUUUUGUGCCACUUUGAAGGAGCACCCCCAAGAAUGAAUAUGUUUUUCUUGUACUAGCGCAAGGUCGUACUCUCGGAUCUCUGGCCUAUCUGCCUAACGCAAAGCUUGGAUCUGUAUUGCAGUUGGUGUAUAUGAUGAUGGGAAUUUUAUUCUUAAGCUUAAGGUUGGAAUGAAAAAUGUCUGCAUGGACCUUGGUUUUGAGGACCAACCAAACACUGUCACAUUCUUUGAAGGUUAUCAAGAUAUCAGUAGGAGAGGCAUCACACAGGACGGCUAUGAAUCUGAAGUUUGGCACUAUAAUAUAGGAGUGUGACAUCGCCACCAUGAUCAAGGCCACUAUUGAGUCGCUUGAAGGACAACUAUGCAGCAAUGAAGUCAUGGUUCGCCAUGAACUUGGACAACGUCAGGAGUCACUCUUGAGAUUCAGAUAUUUGAGGAUUUCAAAUGGUUUAAUGCUUCUUAUAUUCCUGUAUUCGAGGGGCUACAAGAAUCUGAUAGGCAUUUCUAUUAUUUCUCUUCACACAACGAUAAUGGACGAAAAAGCAAAUUCAAAAAACCCCCAAAUAUCUCAUGAAGUGUAAUAUUCUUCAGUCCCAGCUUAGAGAUCUCUGACAUAUUUUGAUAUUUGAGCUUCUAGGCAUUUCACAGACGGCUAUGAGUGAUGUUCUUCGUGAGUGUGAUGAUGAUCUGUUGGAGAAGACAAAGUAGAGAUCGCUCAUAAAGAAAUCCAUGAUGCUGUGUUUGGAGGACAUGCCAGAAAUAGAGAGGAAGCCGGUAAAGAAGCUAAAGAAGGCGUUGAAAAUGGUAACCAAGGCUCUGGGUGUGCUAGAGAGGACAAAUAGACACAAACUAGCUCAGUGAGUAAAUCAUGUUGACUAAUUACUUGUGAUACAGUUUGGAAUUAUAAUAUGCAGAACAUGAUUGUAUUAUUAUCGUGAGAAAUUAUGUACUUCUGUUUUGUCUCAAUUCCACCAUGUUAGUUUAUUGCAGAGUUCUUUGUACUCUUUCCAUUA